ensembl:snRNA U6 U6 spliceosomal RNA
CUGCUUCAGCAGCACAUACACUAAAAUUGGAAAGAUACAGAGAAGGUUAGCGUGGCCCCUGCUCAAGGAUGAUAUGCAAAUUUGUAGAGUGUUCCAUAUUAAA